UACGGAGGGUGCAAGCGUUAUCCGGAUUCACUGGGUUUAAAGGGUGCGUAGGCGGGUUAUUAAGUCAGUGGUGAAAGCCUUCAGCUUAACUGGAGAAUUGCCAUUGAUACUGAUGAUCUUGAGUAUGAUUGAGGUGGGCGGAAUGUGUCAUGUAGCGGUGAAAUGCUUAGAUAUGACACAGAACACCGAUUGCGAAGGCAGCUCACUAAGCCAUAACUGACGCUGAUGCACGAAAGCGUGGGGAGCAAACAGG
rnacentral:rRNA from 1 species